GACGAACGCUGGCGGCGUGCUUAACACAUGCCGGUCGAACGGAAAGGUCCUGCUUUUGUGGGGUGCUCGAGUGGCGAACGGGUGAGUAACACGUGAGUAACCUGCCCUUGACUUUGGGAUAACUUCAGGAAACUGGGGCUAAUACCGGAUAGGAGCUCCUGCUGCAUGGUGGGGGUUGGAAAGUUUCGGCGGUUGGGGAUGGACUCGCGGCUUAUCAGCUUGUUGGUGGGGUAGUGGCUUACCAAGGCUUUGACGGGUAGCCGGCCUGAGAGGGUGACCGGCCACAUUGGGACUGAGAUACGGCCCAGACUCCUACGGGAGGCAGCAGUGGGGAAUAUUGCACAAUGGGCGGAAGCCUGAUGCAGCAACGCCGCGUGCGGGAUGACGGCCUUCGGGUUGUAAACCGCUUUCGCCUGUGACGAAGCGUGAGUGACGGUAAUGGGUAAAGAAGCACCGGCUAACUACGUG
rnacentral:rRNA from 1 species